GAAGAAGUUGUAGAAGAAGAGGAUUUAGGGAUAGAAGCGUUAUGGUUUUCGCCUUACGUCUUCAACUGCCUUUUAUAGAGGCACAUUUGCAAUGGGUGUCGUGUCGGCAGAAUGUGGGCGGCGUCAAACGGCACGCCUACAAUGAGUACAUACGAUUACAAAAAAAUGGUAUGGUGCGCAAGGUUGGAA
ensembl:ncRNA ZK84.9 ncRNA